rnacentral:rRNA from 1 species
UGGGGGAUAUUGCACAAUGGGCGAAAGCCUGAUGCAGCGACGCCGCGUGGGGGAUGAAGGCUUUCGGGUUGUAAACCUCUUUCGCUAUCGAACAAGGCCCGCUUAGGGUGGGUUGAGGGUAGGUGGAGAAGAAGCGCCGGCUAACUACGUGCCAGCAGCCGCGGUAAUACGUAGGGCGCGAGCGUUGUCCGGAAUUAUUGGGCGUAAAGGGCUUGUAGGCGGCUUGUUGCGCCUGCUGUGAAAACGCGGGGCUUAACUUCGGGCGUGCAGUGGGUACGGGCAGGGUUGAGUGUUGUAGGGGUGACUGGAAUUCCAGGUGUAGCGGUGGAAUGCGCAGAUAUCUGGAGGAACACCGAUGGCGAAGGCAGGUCACUGGGCCAUUACUGACGCUGAGGAGCGAAAGCAUGGGUAGCGAACAGG